AGCAGAGUCAAUUACAGCCUGCAGCAAACAAGCCAUUUUGCCAUUCAGAGAGGAUAAUGACACUUGGACAUCUCUGGGGCGUAUUUUUCCUGUUGGCCAAUACUCAGACCACAUAUUUCUUCUAACAUGUAUUUUAACUAAAAAUGAUAUUGACUGAAACAUCUACCUGAAAAUAAGCUUUGUAAUUUAGCAGGUGUUUACAGUUUAAAGUGUUUACAGUUCUACAAGACAAAAGGCUAGGGACUGCUACCUACAGGAACUCACAGACAAGAGGAAAGUCAAAGACAAACCAAGGGCGUAUACAAUGAAAAUAGCAGUGUUCCUUGGGCAACGUGGAAGGGGUGAGCUGGGCUUUGGCACUGCUGUUCUGUGGUUGUCCACAGCAACUCUGCUCUUGAACUUCUUCUGUUUCACAGAGUUGGGUGUAAAAGUCUACAUCUUACUAGUUUUACCUAAACAGAAAUUUGAACAGAUGGCUUUUCCCAACUUAUUUCCUAUGACAGCUUUUGCAGCCGGUCAAGCUUUUAAGAGCUGGUGCUCAUCAUAGAAAGGCAGAGAUGCUGUUUUGACAUCUUCAAACAGCUCCUUGCUGGGAAGUCUCCAGAUUCUAAGACAUAGCUCCUCUUUGCCUGGGGAAGGGCACCAUCCCCCUGAACCAUCUGGGGAAGCAGUCAUUCUCUGCGUGCUCACUUGAUGCCAGUUUCACAUCCUUUUAUGAGGCUUCUUGUUGAUGUUCCCCUGCAGAACCUGAGAUGAAUCUCUGGGCCAAACAUAACUGCUGCAGCAGGGACUGCUCUGGGUCUAUCCACGUCACCACCUCCUUCCUGUUCCUGUAGCUGCUCUCCCGAGGCCACCUCAACACAGAAGAACUAGCUGCUUUUUCAUGGCUAAGUGGAUCCUCAGUCAAGACAUCAGCGAGUGGCCAGGGAUGAAGAGAUCUCUGCUUUGCAGAGGCCUAAAGAAACCUGCUCCCUUCAGGAAAUGCAACAGCAAAGGAAUCCAACAGGACCUGGGGCUGUGCAUUCUCCCCUCAGUCUUCCCCCACACAUUCAAUA
rnacentral:lncRNA from 7 species